rnacentral:lncRNA from 1 species
CUCCGCUUUCUCUUCCUGCUCUCCAUCAUGGCGCAGGAUCAAGGUGAAAAGGAGAACCCCAUGCGGGAACUUCGCAUCCGCAAACUCUGUCUCAACAUCUGUGUUGGGGAGAGUGGAGACAGACUGACCCGAGCAGCCAAGGUGUUGGAGCAGCUCACAGGGCAGACCCCUGUGUUUUCCAAAGGUGAGUAGCGACAAGGACAUAC